GGCGAUCAGAUACCGCCCUAGUUCUGACCGUAAACGAUGCCAACUAGCGAUCCGCCGGCGGAUUCAUUCGCCCUGGUGGGGAGCUUCCCGGAAACGAAAGUCUUCCGGUUCCGGGGGAAGUAUGGUUGCAAAGCUGAAACUUAAAGGAAUUGACGGAAGGGCACCACCAGGAGUGGAGCCUGCGGCUUAAUUUGACUCAACACGGGGAAACUCACCCGGCCCGGACACCGUAAGGAUUGACAGAUUGAUAGCUUUUUCAUGAUUCGGUGGAUGGUGGUGCAUGGCCGUUCUUAGUUCGUGGAGUGAUUUGUCUGGUUUAUUCCGAUAACGAGCGAGACUCUGGCCUACUAAAUAGUUGGCACAUUGCCACUGUGUGCACAACUUCUUAGAGGGAUUUUCGGUGUUCAGCCGCACGAAAUUGAGCAAUAACAGGUCUGUGAUGCCCUUAGAUGUCCGGGGCUGCACGCGCGCUACACUGGCAAAAUCAGCGUGCUUGUCCUCCCCCGAAAGGGGUUGGUAAACCGAUGAAAAUUUGCCGUGAUUGGGAUCGGACAUUGCAAUUAUUGUCCGUGAACGAGGAAUCCCUUGUAAGGGCGAGUCAUCAACUCGUCCUGAAUACGUCCCUGCCCUUUGUA
rnacentral:rRNA from 1 species